AAUAUCUCUGGUCGUUUUGAAACAUGUUUUGUCAAAUUACUACAACUGCUGGAUUACUUAGAAAUAAUAGGAAAAAAACCCGAUUUACUUAACAAUGUGUGAGCAGCGUAUUCAAAACUCCCGUUUACGGAUGAAAAACAAGCACCCUACAACUGGUGUCAGAUUGAUUCGGCAUCUACCAGCAGUCGGAGUGGCAGCUCAGCUGGUCAUUGAUGCUGUAAAUCGAGAGCCAAUUCAAACCAAUUUGAUCAAUAUGCAGCGAGAAAACGAUCGUAUCAUCGAAGCAGAAAGAAUCGUGGAUUCAACGCAGACUGAUUCGAAUUUUUCUUGAGUUAGAAGCUAGUUAGGUUUGAACUGAGAAUUGCUUAUUACAUUUAGGUCUGAAAGCAGUUCUUAGGUCAAACAGUAAAAAUGUCAAUUGAAAUGUAAAGAGUUGAAAUAAAGUGUUGAUCAACAAAGAUCGUAACAGCACUUUGUUCCGAGAUGGUAGACACUUUUUAAGCCUAUUAAAAAUUAAAAAUUACGCGAUAUCUAGUCUGCGUUGAAACCACAUCGGUCGACAUGGAAGCUCACGGAUAGAUAACUGUUACGAUGAUGAUGGAUGAUUGAUGGAUCAGCACGACACGAAUUGGAUCGAUACGGUAUGUUCACUGAGAUAAACUGAUAAUAAUCAUGUGUUUGUUUUAGUUGUAUUUUGUGGUGUGCCAACCAGCUCAACAGCUUGAUUGAGUUAUUUGGAGAAACUGCCAACUCCUAAAACGAAAAAAGCAUAGGUGCGUCUUGUAAGUAAUGAAUAAUUUUAAUGACUAGUCAAUUAGAAAUACCAUCAUCAGGGGUGACAUUGGGUUUGGGUGUGAGAUUGGGUCAUACAAAAAUGCAGAAAUUUGAAUGACCCAAGCUUACCCGGGCAGAUGGUAAUAACAAAAUUCAUGCCAUUUCAAUUACAAAUACUGUUCAAAUAACAGAAGGUGUUAUGAAAUCUUUUUGAAAAAUCCACGUUUGCAUAAGGGUUUAAUAACAGUUUAUGUUAUCAUAACAAAGUUUAUUAUUGGUCUGAUAUUGGUGGAAAGCCAAAACAACUUUGUAAUAACAUUUUUUUGAUAUGAAAGAAUACCUCAAACUGUUAUUGGGAUGAUCGGAUUAGUUGUUAAAAUAACUUAAAAUAAUAACAAAGAUUUAUUCGAAGAAUAAAUAAAAGUGUUAUUAGUCUGUUAUUACAAUAACAAUCCAAUAACAAAAAACUCAUAACAACGCAUAGCAAAUCUUGUUAUAAAUAAAAUAAAAUGUUAUCAGCCUAGUGUUAUUCCCAUGUUAUUUCCGUCUGCUCGGGAUCUUGUUAAAAUAACAUACAGUCGUGUCUCGGUUUUGCACCGCAUAUGGGGGAUGCAAAACCGAGGCGUGCAUAACUGAAGCACAGAGCUUAUGGGAUUUUGGCUAUAUGGGAGACAUUGACUAUAAUCGUAUGAAAAAUCAUGCAAAAAUAAAAAAAAAUAUAGCGUUUUGGAAUUGGGAUGAUGUCAGCUAUCCAUUAAAAUUAAAACUUCAUGAAAUUUUCACAAAAAUACUUAUUUUUCCUGUAUUUAGAAAAUGCAUUUUUUUCUCUAAAGAAAACAAAAAAGUAUAUUGUAAUUGCAAUAUGGUAAUCAAAUGAUCAGAUUUGUUUUCAUACAAUUCGAAUGUUAAAUAUUUUUUUUUUGAAAUUGAUCAACAUUUUUACAAAACUACGUAUUUUCGAAAUAAUAUUCCAAAUUUCAGUUUUUUACAAUAUGGGUAUCAAUCGAUCGAGAUUUUUGCAUACAUUUCGAAUGUAAUAAAAACAUAUUUUGAAAACACUAAAAAAUUUCACAAAACUACGUUUUUUUUCGUAAAAAUACUCAAAAUUUUAGUUUUUACAAACAAUUAGGAUUUUUUCAUACAUAUCGAAUGUAAUUACAACAUUUUUUGAAAAUACUCAAAAUUUUCAUAAAACUACGUAUUUUCGAAAAGCUACUCAAAAUUACAGUUUUUACAAUAAAGUUUCAAAUGAUCGGGAUUUUUUACACAUUUCAAAAGUUAUAACGCAAAUUUGAGAAAAUGCUCAAAAUUUUAACUAUACUACGCAUUAAAAAAAAAAUACUCAAAUUUUUUUAAAGGUAAAUAUUGUUAUUUCAUUCGAAAUGUAUGAAAAAUCUCGAUCAUUCGAUACCCAUAUUGUUAAAACGGAAAUUUUGAGUAUUUUUUUUCGAAAAUACGUAGUUAUGUAAAAUUUUGAGUAUUUUUAAAAAAUUGUUAUUACUUUCGAAAUGUAUGUAAAAAUUCUGAUCGUUUGAUA